CUUAAUUACACUUUUAUAUCUGCAUAUAAUGUACGUAUAUGUAUAAUAAUUAUUUAUUAAUAGACAUUUAAUUAGGAAAUAAAAAUAAAUAAUGUAAAAAUUCACAUUUUAAUAAAGUAAAAUGUGUGACAUAUAGCGCUAAUCUCUCUAAUACCAUGAAGGAUUGACAAAAAAAAAAAAACCUACUAGAGAAAAUGUCUUUGUGCUCACAAAAUGUUAUUAGUCCUUGUGACAACUAGUCCCAGGCGCCCUUUACUUCUAAAAAAGCCCCAAAGCUUGAAUAGGAUGUAUUUAUUCAAUUUAGUUCACCUUACAUUGCAAUGAUACUGUAUACAGCUUGUAUUCUUGCUAUUUCUAGACAAGCAACAACUGUUAUUUACCCAUAGCUGCUGCUCUGUGAUGUCUGAAGCACUGGAGUGGUGCAUCGUGGGAUUGUGGGGGUGGUAGGUAUCAGUCCCCUGUAGAGCAUUUGAUUUCGUCUCUUCCUCCACAGUAGAUACACUGAUAGGCCAAACAGCAACAGGAACAGAAAUGCUGCAGACAGUCCACAUGCCAGUGCUACAAGUGGAUCUAAAGGCACAGUCACCCUUCCCUCUCACUCAGUGUAUCAUACAACCGAGAACAUGGCUUUGCAUUAACUAAACCUGCUGUGUGACACCAUUGGACAGUCUCUUUCUCUCAUGCCUUUUAAAUAAAUGUGUCAAGUGUCUUGUGUCAACACGCUUUAGUGGAGACCUGCAUGCAAGAGGUGGAGCACAUUGCAUUUUGCUACUCAAGAAACACUGUAUUUCUAUCUAGAGCAACAACCUGUUUUAUACUUUACUGUAGGGGAUUUACUGCAGCCACCUGGAGGGUGAACCAGAACUUCCUAACAGGUAGAGUAAGUGUGAAUCACCGGUUUCUCAUUUUGCCUAGAGGCUCAAUCUCAUAGGCGCUCUUCCUGAUGUCUCACUGAGAGUAAGCUUUGUCUUCUGAUAGCCUGGUCACCCUACGGCGGGGUACUACAGUCCCCCUGAGGCUUCCCAGGACAGUUAAUCAACACCGAACACUGGCUUAAGCAGGUGAGGGAUAUGAGCUCUGCCACUUGCAGUAUUUAUUUCCAAACAGACACAAAACCUUGAUGCAGUCCAGCAGUGAGCAUACAAACUGUGACUAUUUACAGGCAAUUAGCAAGCUAAAAUGACUUCCAAAUAAAAGUGGCAAUUGCUGAAAGCUAUUCUGAAAU
ensembl:lncRNA